AAUAAACGACUCUCGGCAACGGAUAUCUCGGCUCUCGCAUCGAUGAAGAACGUAGCGAAAUGCGAUACUUGGUGUGAAUUGCAGAAUCCCGUGAACCAUCGAGUUUUUGAACGCAAGUUGCGCCCGAAGCUUCUGCUGAGGGCACGUCUGCCUG
rnacentral:rRNA from 3 species